GACGAACGCUGGCGGCGUGCUUAACACAUGCAAGUCGAACGGUGAAGCGCCUUCCUUUUUGGUGGGUGUGGAUGAGUGGCGAACGGGUGAGUAACACGUGAGUAACCUGCCCCCUUCUUCUGGAUAACCGCAUGAAAGUGUGACUAAUACGGGAUAUUCUGGGUCUGUCGCAUGAUGGGUCUGGGAAAGAUAUUGUUUCGGUGGGGGAUGGGCUCGCGGCCUAUCAGCUUGUUGGUGGGGUGAUGGCCUACCAAGGCGGUGACGGGUAGCCGGCCUGAGAGGGUGGACGGUCACACUGGGACUGAGACACGGCCCAGACUCCUACGGGAGGCAGCAGUGGGGAAUAUUGCACAAUGGGCGCAAGCCUGAUGCAGCGACGCCGCGUGAGGGAUGGAGGCCUGCGGGUUGUGAACCUCUUUCGCCAGUGAAGCAGGCCUGCCUCGUUUGUGGGUGGGUUGACGGUAGCUGGAUAAGAAGCGCCGGCUAACUACGUG
rnacentral:rRNA from 1 species